rnacentral:rRNA from 1 species
CGAAUGCUGACGUGAGUAACGACAAAACGGGUGAAAAACCCGUUCGCCGAAAGACCAAGGGUUCCAGUCCAACGUUAAUCGGGGCUGGGUGAGUCGACCCCUAAGGCGAGGCCGAAAGGCGUAGUCGAUGGGAAAAUGGUUAAUAUUCCAUUACUUCUGUGUAAUGCGAUGAGAGGACGGAGAAGGCUAAAUCAGCCUGGCGUUGGUUGUCCAGGUGAAAGGAUGUAGGCAUGUAUCUUAGGCAAAUCCGGGGUACUCUAUGCUGAGAUCUGAUAGCAAGCUGUACUUGUACAGCGAAGUGGUUGAUGCCAUGCUUCCAGGAAAAGUCUCUAAGCUUCAGUUACACAGGAAUCGUACCCGAAACCGACACAGGUGGUCAGGUCGAGUAGACCAAGGCGCUUGAGAGAACUCUGCUGAAGGAACUAGGCAAAAUGGUACCGUAACUUCGGGAGAAGGUACGCUGUUGUUGGUGAUGGAACUCGCUUCCUGAGCUGACGACAGCCGCAGAAACCAGGCCGCUGCAACUGUUUAUUAAAAACAUAGCACUCUGCAAACACGAAAGUGGACGUAUAGGGUGUGAUGCCUGCCCGGUGCUGGAAGGUUAAUUGAUGGGGUUAGCGUAAGCGAAGCUCUUGAUCGAAGCCCCAGUAAACGGCGGCCGUAACUAUAACGGUCCUAAGGUAGCGAAAUUCCUUGUCGGGUAAGUUCCGACCUGCACGAAUGGCAUAAUGAUGGCGGCGCUGUCUCCAGCAGAGGCUCAGUGAAAUCGAAAUCGCUGUGAAGAUGCAGUGUACCCGCGGCUAGACGGAGAGACCCCGUGAACCUUUACUGCAGCUUGACACUGAACUUUGACCUUACUUGUGUAGGAUAGGUGGGAGGCUUUGAAGCUGGAACGCUAGUUCCAGUGGAGCCGUCCUUGAAAUACCACCCUGGUAAUGUUGAGGUUCUAACUCUGUCCCGUGAUCCGGGACGAGGACCGUGUCUGGUGGGUAGUUUGACUGGGGCGGUCUCCUCCUAAAGAGUAACGGAGGAGUACGAAGGUGCGCUCAGCGUGGUCGGAAAUCACGCGUAGAGUAUAAAGGCAAAAGCGCGCUUAACUGCGAGACCCACAAGUCGAGCAGGUACGAAAGUAGGUCUUAGUGAUCCGGUGGUUCUGUAUGGAAGGGCCAUCGCUCAACGGAUAAAAGGUACUCUGGGGAUAACAGGCUGAUACCGCCCAAGAGUUCAUAUCGACGGCGGUGUUUGGCACCUCGAUGUCGGCUCAUCUCAUCCUGGGGCUGAAGCAGGUCCCAAGGGUAUGGCUGUUCGCCAUUUAAAGAGGUACGCGAGCUGGGUUUAGAACGUCGUGAGACAGUUCGGUCCCUAUCUACCGUGGGCGCUGGAAAUUUGAGAGGAUCUGCUCCUAGUACGAGAGGACCAGAGUGGACGAACCUCUGGUGUACCGGUUGUGACGCCAGUCGCAUCGCCGGGUAGCUAUGUUCGGAAGGGAUAACCGCUGAAAGCAUCUAAGCGGGAAGCCUACCUCAAGAUAAGAUUUCCCUAGGACUUUAUGUCCUCUAAAGAGCCGUUCGAGACUAGGACGUUGAUAGGUUGGAUGUGGAAGCAUAGUGAUAUGUGAAGCUGACCAAUACUAAUUGCUCGUGAGGCUUGACUAU